rnacentral:rRNA from 1 species
GUGGGGAAUUUUGGACAAUGGGGGCAACCCUGAUCCAGCAAUGCCGCGUGCAGGAAGAAGGCCUUCGGGUUGUAAACUGCUUUUGUACGGAACGAAAAGGCUCUGGUUAAUACCUGGGGCACAUGACGGUACCGUAAGAAUAAGCACCGGCUAACUACGUGCCAGCAGCCGCGGUAAUACGUAGGGUGCAAGCGUUAAUCGGAAUUACUGGGCGUAAAGCGUGCGCAGGCGGUGCUGUAAGACAGGCGUGAAAUCCCCGGGCUUAACCUGGGAAUGGCGCUUGUGACUGCAGUGCUGGGGUGUGGCAGAGGGGGAUGGAAUUCGGCGUGUAGCAGUGAAAUGCGUAGAUAUGCGGAGGAACACCGAUGGCGAAGGCAAUCCCCUGGGCCUGCACUGACGCUCAUGCACGAAAGCGUGGGGAGCAAACAGGAUUAGAUACCCUUGUAGUCC